rnacentral:rRNA from 1 species
GACGAACGCUGGCGGCGUGCUUAACACAUGCAAGUCGAACGGAAAGGCCCUGCUUUUGUGGGGUGCUCGAGUGGCGAACGGGUGAGUAACACGUGAGUAACCUGCCCUUGACUUUGGGAUAACUUCAGGAAACUGGGGCUAAUACCGGAUAGGAGCUCCUGCUGCAUGGUGGGGGUCGGAAAGUUUCGGCGGUUGGGGAUGGACUCGCGGCUUAUCAGCUUGUUGGUGGGGUAGUGGCUUACCAAGGCUUUGACGGGUAGCCGGCCUGAGAGGGUGACCGGCCACAUUGGGACUGAGAUACGGCCCAGACUCCUACGGGAGGCAGCAGUGGGGAAUAUUGCACAAUGGGCGGAAGCCUGAUGCAGCAACGCCGCGUGCGGGAUGGCGGCCUUCGGGUUGUAAACCGCUUUCGCCUGUGACGAAGCGUGAGUGACGGUAAUGGGUAAAGAAGCACCGGCUAACUACGUG